rnacentral:lncRNA from 1 species
AGACCAAUAUAAUUGGGUUUUACUCAUAGUUCGGCUGAAGGAGAAAAAGUACUCGUUGAAAAGUUAUACUGUAUGUACGCAACAGAGUAGUCUAUUGUUGGUCCGGUUUUGGUUUUUGUGAUCUUUGACAUCGAUGCGUUUCAAAUUUACACACUCGGGGCAUAAUAAAAUAAUAUAAUUAGGUUUUACUCUUUGUUCGCAAGAAUGAGAAAAAGUACUCAUUGCAAAGUUAUAAUCUUAUGGAGCAACUGAGCAGUCUAAUGUUUUUCCGGUUUUUGUUCUUCCGAACAUUGACAUCGAUAUGUUGCAAAUUUACACUCUCGGGGCAUAAUAGAAUAAUAAAAUUAGGUUUUACUCUUUGUUCGUUUGAACGAUAAAAAGUACUCAUUGCAAAGUUAUAAUCUCAUGGAGCAACUGAGCAGUCUAAUAUUUUUCCAGUUUUGGUACUUGUGAACGUUGACAUCGAUAAGUUGAAAAUUUACACUCUCGGGGAAUAAUGGACCAAUAUAAUUAGGUUUUACCCUUUGUUCGGUUGAAGGAGAAAAUGUACUCGUUGAAAAGUUAUACUAUUAGGGCGCAACAGAGAAGUCUAAUGUUGGUCCGGUUUUAGUUCUUGUGAACGUUGACAUCGAUACGUUGCAAAUUUACACUCUCGGGGCAUAUUAAAAUAUUAUAAUUAGGUUUUACUCGUUGUUCGUUUGAAUGAGAAAAAGUACUCAUUGCAAAGUUAUAAUCUUAUGGAGCAACUGAGCAGUCUAAUAUUUUUCCGGUUUUGGUUCUUCUAACAUUGACAUCGAUACGUUGCAAAUUUACACUCUCGGGGCAUAAUAGAACAAUAUAAUUAGGAUUUACUCUUUGUUCGAUUGAAUGAGAAAAAGUGCUCGUUGCAAAGUUAUACUGUUAGGGCGCCACUGAGUAGUCUUCUGUAGGUCUGGUUUUGGUUUAUGUGCAUGUUGACAUUGAUACAUUGCAAAUUUAUACAUUCGGGGCAUAAUAUAACAAUAUAAUUAGGUUUUACUCUUCGUUCGGUUGAAUGAGAAAAAGUACUCGUUGCCAAGUUAUACUGUUAGGGCGCAACUGAGUAGUCUAAUGUAUGUCCGGUUUUGGUUAUUGUGAACGUUGACAUUGAUACGUUGUAAAUUUACACUCUCGGGGCAUAAUAGAACAAUAUAAUUAGGUUUUACUCUUUGUUCGGUUGAAUGAGAAAAAGUACUCGUUGCAAAGUUAUACUGUUAGGGCGCAACUGAGUGGGCUACAGUUGGUCUGGUUUUGGUUUAUGUGAAAGUUGACAUCGAUAAGUUGCAAAUUUACACUCUCGGGGCAUAAUAGAAUAAUAUAAAUAGGUUUAACUCUUUGUUCGAUUGAAUGAGAAAAAGCACUGUUUGCAAAGUUAUACUGUUAGGGCGCAACUAAGAAGGCUACUGUUGGUCUGGUUUUGGUUAACGUGAACGUUGACAUCGAUACGUUGCUAAUUUACACACUCGGGGCAUAAUAAAACAAUAUAAUUAGGUUUUACUUUUCGUUCGGUUGAAUGAGAAAAAGUACUCGUUGCCAAGUUAUACUGUUAGGGCGCAACUGAGUUGUCUAAUGUUUGUCCGGUUUUGGUUAUUGUGAACGUUGACAUUGAUACGUUGCACAUUUACACUCUCGGGGCAUAAUAGACCAAUAUAAUUGGGUUUUACUCAUUGUUCGGUUGAAGAUGAAAAAGUACUCGUUGAGAAGUUAUACUGUUAGUGCGCAACAGAGUAGUCUAAUGUUGGUCCGGUUUUGGUUUUUGUGAACGUUGACAUCGAUGCGUUGCAAAUUUACACUCUCGGGGCAUAAUAAAACAAUAUAAUUAG